AUUGAACGCUGGCGGCAGGCUUAACACGUGCAAGUCGAGCGGGGAAAGGUAGCUUGCUACCUGACCUAGCGGCGGACGGGUGAGUAAUGCUUAGGAAUCUGCCUAUUAGUGGGGGACAACAUCUCGAAAGGGAUGCUAAUACCGCAUACGUCCUACGGGAGAAAGCAGGGGACCUUCGGGCCUUGCGCUAAUAGAUGAGCCUAAGUCGGAUUAGCUAGUUGGUGGGGUAAAGGCCUACCAAGGCGACGAUCUGUAGCGGGUCUGAGAGGAUGAUCCGCCACACUGGGACUGAGACACGGCCCAGACUCCUACGGGAGGUAGCAGUGGGGAAUAUUGGACAAUGGGGGGAACCCUGAUCCAGCCAUGCCGCGUGUGUGAAGAAGGCCUUUUGGUUGUAAAGCACUUUAAGCGAGGAGGAGGCUACCGAGAUUAAUACUCUUGGAUAGUGGACGUUACUCGCAGAAUAAGCACCGGCUAACUCUGUGCCAGCAGCCGCGGUAAUAC
rnacentral:rRNA from 1 species